UAAUUCUACGGGGGGCAGCAGUGAGGAAUAUUGGUCAAUGGACGCAAGUCUGAACCAGCCAAGUAGCGUGCAGGAUGACGGCCCUCCGGGUUGUAAACUGCUUUUAGUUGGGAAUAAAAGGGGGCUCGUGAGCCCCGUAUUGUAUGUACCAUCAGCAAAAGGCCCGGCUAAUUCCGUGCCAGCAGCCGCGGUCAUACGGAAGGUCCGGGCGUUAUCCGGAUUUAUUGGGUUU
rnacentral:rRNA from 1 species